GAUGAACGCUGGCGGCGUGCCUAAUACAUGCAAGUCGAGCGGACGGACGCGAAGCUUGCUUCGCUGAUGUUAGCGGCGGAUGGGUGAGUAACACGUGGAUCACCUACCUAUAAGACUGGGAUAACUUCGGGAAACCGGAGCUAAUACCGGAUAAUAUCUUGAACCGCAUGGUUCAAUAGUGAAAGACGGUCUUGGUGUCACUUAUCGAUGGAUCCGGGCUGCAUUAGAUAGUUGGUAAGGUAAAGGGUUACCAAGGCAACGAUGCGUGGCCGACCGCCGAGGGUGAUCGGCCACACUGGAACUGAGACACGGUCCAGACUCCUACGGGAGGGAGCAGUAGGGAAUCUUCCGCAAUGGGCGAAAGCCUGACGGAGCAACGCCGCGUGAGUGAUGAAGGUCUUCGGUUCGUAAAGCUCUGUUAUUAGGGAAGAACAUAUGUGUAAUUAACCGUACACAGCUUGACGGUACCUAAUCAGAAAGCCACGGCUAACUACGUG
rnacentral:rRNA from 1 species